UAGUAUAGCAUUUAUACUGCGAAACUGCGAAUGGCUCAUUAAAUCAGUUAUCGUUUAUUGGAAAGAACCUUACUACUUGGAUAACCGUGGUAAUUCUAGAGCUAAUACAUGCUAAAAAUCCCGACUUACGGAGGGAUGUAUUUAUUAGAUUAAAAACCAAUGCCCUUCGGGGCUCUUUGGUGAUUCAUAAUAACUUCUCGAAUCGCAUGGCCUUGCGCUGGCGAUGGUUCAUUCAAAUUUCUGCCCUAUCAACUUUCGAUGGCAGGGUCUUGGCCUGCCAUGGUUACAACGGGUAACGGAGGGUUAGGGCUCGACCCCGGAGAAGGAGCCUGAGAAACGGCUACUACAUCCAAGGAAGGCAGCAGGCGCGCAAAUUACCCAAUCCCGAUACGGGGAGGUAGUGACAAUAAAUACUGAUACAGGGCUCUUUUGGGUCUUGUAAUUGGAAUGAGUACAAUUUAAAUCCCUUAACGAGGAACAAUUGGAGGGCAAGUCUGGUGCCAGCAGCCGCGGUAAUUCCAGCUCCAAUAGCGUAUAUUAAAGUUGUUGCAGUUAAAAAGCUCGUAGUUGAACCUUGGGCCUGGCUGGCCGGUCCGCCUCACCGCGUGCACUGGUUCGGCCGGGCCUUUCCCUCUGGGGAACCCUAUGCCCUUCACUGGGUGUAGCGGGGAACCAGGACUUUUACUGUGAAAAAAUUAGAGUGUUCAAAGCAGGCCUAUGCUCGAAUACAUCAGCAUGGAAUAAUAGAAUAGGACGUGCGGUUCUAUUUUGUUGGUUUCUAGGACCGCCGUAAUGAUUAAUAGGGACAGUCGGGGGCAUCAGUAUUCAAUUGUCAGAGGUGAAAUUCUUGGAUUUAUUGAAGACUAACUACUGCGAAAGCAUUUGCCAAGGAUGUUUUCAUUAAUCAGGAACGAAAGUUAGGGGAUCGAAGACGAUCGAAACGGCUUGGAUAGUUCUCAUUCGCCGUGUAUCUGGUCGUCGAUAGUUUAGUGGUAAGCUAAGCUAGUCUUAUUAGUUAAUAAAUAGGCGACCACCGUCCAAAUUGCGGGACAUCCUUAAGAAGCCUCUU
rnacentral:rRNA from 1 species